rnacentral:rRNA from 1 species
CUGGCUCAGGACGAACGCUGGCGGCGUGCUUAACACAUGCAAGUCGAACGGAAAGGCCCUUCGGGGUACUCGAGUGGCGAACGGGUGAGUAACACGUGGGUGAUCUGCCCUGCACUUUGGGAUAAGCCUGGGAAACUGGGUCUAAUACCGAAUAUGACCGCGCACUUCCUGGUGUGUGGUGGAAAGCUUUUGCGGUGUGGGAUGGGCCCGCGGCCUAUCAGCUUGUUGGUGGGGUAAUGGCCUACCAAGGCGACGACGGGUAGCCGGCCUGAGAGGGUGACCGGCCACACUGGGACUGAGAUACGGCCCAGACUCCUACGGGAGGCAGCAGUGGGGAAUAUUGCACAAUGGGCGCAAGCCUGAUGCAGCGACGCCGCGUGAGGGAUGACGGCCUUCGGGUUGUAAACCUCUUUCAAUAGGGACGAAGCGCAAGUGACGGUACCUAUAGAAGAAGGACCGGCCAACUACGUGCCAGCAGCCGCGGUAAUACGUAGGGUCCGAGCGUUGUCCGGAAUUACUGGGCGUAAAGAGCUCGUAGGUGGUUUGUCGCGUUGUUCGUGAAAACUCACAGCUUAACUGUGGGCGUGCGGGCGAUACGGGCAGACUAGAGUACUGCAGGGGAGACUGGAAUUCCUGGUGUAGCGGUGGAAUGCGCAGAUAUCAGGAGGAACACCGGUGGCGAAGGCGGGUCUCUGGGCAGUAACUGACGCUGAGGAGCGAAAGCGUGGGGAGCGAACAGGAUUAGAUACCCUGGUAGUCCACGCCGUAAACGGUGGGUACUAGGUGUGGGUUUCCUUCCUUGGGAUCCGUGCCGUAGCUAACGCAUUAAGUACCCCGCCUGGGGAGUACGGCCGCAAGGCUAAAACUCAAAGAAAUUGACGGGGGCCCGCACAAGCGGCGGAGCAUGUGGAUUAAUUCGAUGCAA